rnacentral:rRNA from 1 species
UGGGGAAUUUUGGACAAUGGGCGAAAGCCUGAUCCAGCAAUGCCGCGUGUGUGAAGAAGGCCUUCGGGUUGUAAAGCACUUUUGUCCGGAAAGAAAUCCUUGGCUCUAAUACAGUCGGGGGAUGACGGUACCGGAAGAAUAAGCACCGGCUAACUACGUGCCAGCAGCCGCGGUAAUACGUAGGGUGCAAGCGUUAAUCGGAAUUACUGGGCGUAAAGCGUGCGCAGGCGGUUUGCUAAGACCGAUGUGAAAUCCCCGGGCUCAACCUGGGAACUGCAUUGGUGACUGGCAGGCUAGAGUAUGGCAGAGGGGGGUAGAAUUCCACGUGUAGCAGUGAAAUGCGUAGAGAUGUGGAGGAAUACCGAUGGCGAAGGCAGCCCCCUGGGCCAAUACUGACGCUCAUGCACGAAAGCGUGGGGAGCAAACAGGAUUAGAUACCCUGGUAGUCCAGCGCCCUAAACGAUGUCAACUAGUUGUUGGGGAUUCAUUUCCUUAGUAACGUAGCUAACGCGUGAAGUUGACCGCCUGGGGAGUACGGUCGCAAGAUUAAAACUCAAAGGAAUUGACGGGGU